CACUGAGUGAUGGAAGGGAUGGAGCCAGGAUCCACCUCUUCCCAGCCCUCAUUUAAGGGCUGGCAGUGGAGAGGAGGGGUCUUGCUGGAGGUCCCUGCAUACCUGAGGCUUUUUGAAGGGACAGCAAAGGGAGAAGAUAACUGACUUGGCAGAGGUUGCAGUGAAAACCUGCAGUGGAGCACAGCCUCAAACUCUGCUUUCCCAACAUACCUUACCCCGAUUACAGGUUGAACCAUCACAGCAGAGGAAUAAUGUCCAUAUCCUUUCUUUACACCAAAAGAAGAUGCUGGAGGCAUUUGGCCUCUGGCUGAAAUUCAGAUUCCUCCCCUUUGAAUUGCAUCUUCUGCUAUUGCUGUGUUACAGCAGAGGAGUGAUGUCGGCACACCCGUGCUGGAUGCUGCCCACAUUCAGCAGCUCAGUUAUUGUUAUUGCUGUUGUUACAGAAUAAAUCAUUCCUUAAGCUCCUCUCUUCCAUGGCAGAUUGUCCAUGAAAGACUUGCAAUCUCUGCACGGAGACACAGGUUGACAGACUAAAUCAGAUCAGUAAUCAAAUCCAGAUCCCAUCUCCUACUACCUGCUAUGAGUUAUUGGUACCAGGAAGAGUGGAAGGAGAAUUUGCAGGCUGCAGUUCAGGAGGAAAGAAACAGGGAAGGUUUCUACUUAGAUCUGAGCUAGAAAAAAAAUGUGGAAAUCUCCCGUUUGCAUUGUUUAUCUAAUGGUAUUAACUCUUCUGUUUCUGGACAUGAGGGUAUAGCAGAUAUAACAUCUGCUGUCUGCAGAUGUGAAGGAACUGGAGCUCAGAACAGGCAUUCACAGCUGCUGACACCAAAGCGGGGGGCACAAGGGCUGAAUGGAGCAGGAAGGUUUCUCUUCAACCUGGACAGAAGUUAUUUGGAGUCCUGAUUCAUACAUGAAUGUCUUGUACUAAAACUUAUCAGCCACAGCAAUCCCCCAUUUGGCAUUUGUGGCACCAAGAGGUGAAAAUUUGCCCUCAGAACAGUUGGAGGAGGAACUGUGACUUGGAUCUCCAUGUUUCUUCAUUGAUUUUUGUUUUCCUUGUGAUGUAGGUCCUCUUGCUCGUAUCUUCUGAUACAAGCUGAGGUUUCCUUGCCCUCAAACUCAGCAUGGUCUCAUUGCCAUGGAUGAGAAAUCAGAGGAGCACAGCAGCACUGGUCCCUGUGCAGCUCUGCACUGAGGUCAAUACUGAGCUUGUUUCUCAUAAUAGAACUCCUCACAGAGACACAAGCAAAGCUAUGGGCUCAAAACUGCACUUGUUGCUUCUCUUAGGAUUUUUGGCUCUAAAUCAUCCCUAUUUGGAGCAAUUACUUGAUUUUUACAAAGGAUGAAGAUUGGAGUUGUGAUUAUUUAGUUGCAUCAAAAUAGAGUUUUCUUCAUUUGGCAGUGGAGAUUCAAAGCUUUACUUCAUGCUGUGGGGUUUUCUGGCAUGAAUUUCCAUAUCCCCCUGGUGUUGGCAGAGAGGGCAGUGCUGCCUGGGUGUGCAGCCCCCACCUUCCUGCUGCUCCAGGGGCAGCCAGUGCUGAGAAAGCAAAUGGGAGGAUGGAUUUCUUAUUGUACCAUUCUAAUAAAGUGACAGGGAUGGAGCUGGAUGCCUCCCGAUGUACAGCAAAAUCCAAACAAGUCUGAAGCUGCCCCUGCACCCUUGCCUCAGUUUUGCAUUUGUUUCUACAUGCGACUGAGUGCCAAAGUAUCAGCAAAGAAUGAGCAAGGCCCUUCUGCCACAGCAAAUAAAGCAGUGGCUCAGGAAUGGGGGCGAGAGAUCAAGCACCCAGUUUCUUUGUGCUGGAGAACCACAAGCACUCGUGGUUAGGUUUCAUCUCUCCUCAGGAGAGGUUUCCACUUUCCAGACCCAUGCAGGCACUCACCCCACCGCUGGGGGUUCAUGUCCAAGUGGGAUUGAAGUCCCCUGCCCCUAUUGCAAAGCACUGACAGCUGCCUGAAGCCUAGGGUUUAUUCUCUCUUAUGAAAAGCCACUUAUACAGACACUUACCUCCUUUUAUUUUUUCAACUGUAGCACCAAGUUUAUCCUCUCUCCUCCCAUUUGCACUUAUUCUUUCUAUAUUGCAGCUGCUGCUUGGUGAGGGGCACGCGUGUUUUAAAACACUGCAGUGGGGCUGCAGCUGCAUUAGCAGGAGAAAAACCUCAUAUUUGCCCAAAGGAGGAGUCAGAAUCCCAUCUGGAUUUAGCAAGCACUCCCACCCACAGAGGGUAAGGAAGGGUAGAUGUGUGUAUCAGGCCGUGGACGCUUCCACCCCCAAGACCUGAUUUGCCAUUGAGGGAGCAUUUCUAAUAGUUCAUGCAAAGAUUUUUGUGGAAUAAGGAGAGGAACCAAAGAGAUAAGGAGAGAAAACUUGGAGGAGAAGCGCAGCACCGGGCAGCCUACAGCCACAGGAGAGGGGAGGACACCUCUGCAAGGCACCCACAGCACUAUCCAUCCCUAGGGAUGAGCACUGAGCAAGCAGAUGCUGACCCCUGGGGAGGACCUGAACGGUGAAGGGCAGAAAAGGCAUUUCCCCCAGUGAGGGACCCCAGCUCUCCCUGUCCUUGGCAGUGCUGUCCCCUCCCCACUCACACCCCUGGGGUGGCUGCAUCUCCAUGGGGCCGUAUGUGAUUGCUGCACAGCCCCAUGGGAUGAAAGCUGUGUGCUUAGAUAUGGUUUAUCCCUUCCAACCCCUGAUGAUAAUCCGGGAUUAGUCCUUCCAGCGUAUGAUUACGUUUUGCCCACUUGCUUUGAAAUGACACCAUUCUGGCCCUUUUCUUUCAGCUUGUCCCACCAACCCUUAGGAAAACUGUUUGCCAGGCUCUGAUUAAACCCUGCAUGAAGCAAAGUCCCACCGGGAUCCCAAACAACUUCACGUGUCCAUUCUCUCCCCUUCUCCUCUGCUGAGCAGCCCUAUCUCUCUGACGUCCCCAUGGGGACAGGGCAUGCCUCACUAUGCACAAGUGCAUAUAUUCAUCUCCUGUAAUAAAUAUGCAGUUUUGCCAGCAGCAAUGACUCCUGACCAUCAUUCCCCCAGGCAGAUGGAUGCAUUGGAAGAAACCAUCUUGUAAUGUCAGCCGGGCUCCGUCUGGGAGCACGGCAUCAGCUGGGAAGCCAAUGCUGCUGCUCCCCAUUAGGUUUAUUCGCUAUCUGUGUUGCUGGGCCAUUAAAGGAGCUGUGUGAAAGCUGUCUGGCUGUUCACAGGAGCAGUGGAGCAGCAGGAGAGACAGCAGCCGUCCCUCAAA